AGAGUUUGAUCCUGGCUCAGGAUGAACGCUAGCGGCAGGCCUAAUACAUGCAAGUCGAACGGGCUGGAGUAGCAAUACUCUAGUUAGUGGCGCACGGGUGCGUAACGCGUAUGCAACCUACCUUUUAUUGGGGGAUAGCCCGAAGAAAUUCGGAUUAAUACCGCAUAACACUGUUUGAGGGCAUCUGAAGACAGUUAAAGCUACGGCGAUAAAAGAUGGGCAUGCGUGUCAUUAGCUAGUUGGUGAGGUAACGGCUCACCAAGGCGACGAUGACUAGGGGUUCUGAGAGGAUGAUCCCCCACACUGGUACUGAGAUACGGACCAGACUCCUACGGGAGGCAGCAGUAGGGAAUAUUGGGCAAUGGCCGAAAGGCUGACCCAGCCAUGCCGCGUGCCGGAUGAAGGCCUUCUGGGUUGUAAACGGCUUUUACCAGGGAAGAAACUACCUUUGCGAAGGGAACUGACGGUACCUGGGGAAUAAGCACCGGCUAACUCCGUGCCAGCAGCCGCGGUAAUACGGAGGGUGCCAGCGUUGUCCGGAUUUAUUGGGUUUAAAGGGUGCGUAGGCGGCUUAAUAAGUCCGUGGUGAAAGCCAACAGCUCAACUGUUGAACUGCCAUGGAUACUGUUAAGCUGGAGUACAGACGAGGUAGGCGGAAUGGAUGGUGUAGCGGUGAAAUGCAUAGAUACCAUCCAGAACCCCGAUUGCGAAGGCAGCUUACUAGACUGUCACUGACGCUGAGGCACGAAAGCGUGGGGAGCGAACAGGAUUAGAUACCCUAGUAGUCC
rnacentral:rRNA from 1 species